AUUGAACGCUGGCGGCAGGCCUAACACAUGCAAGUCGAACGAGUGGCGGACGGGUGAGUAAUGACUGGGAAACUUCCUGAUGGAGGGGGAUAACUCCUGGAAACGGUAGCUAAUACCGAUUACCAUCGUCUGUGCCCAGAUGGUCUUAGCUGGUAGGUGGGGUAAAGGCUCACCUAGGCGACGAUCCCUAGCUGGUCUGAGAGACUGACCAGCCACACUGGAACUGAGACACGGGCCAGACUCCUACGGGAGGCAGCAGUGGGGAAUAUUGCACAAUGGGCGAAAGCCUGAUGCAGCCAUGCCGCGUGUAUGAAGAAGGCCUUCGGGUUGUAAAGUACUUUCAGCGGGGAGGCGUUACCCGCAGAAGAAGCACCGGCUAACUCCAUGCCAGCCGCCGCGGUAAUUC
rnacentral:rRNA from 1 species